rnacentral:rRNA from 1 species
UACGUAGGGACCGAGCGUUGUCCGGAAUCAUUGGGCGUAAAGAGCGUGUAGGCGGCCAGACAGGUCAGCUGUGAAAACUCGAGGCUCAACCUCGAGACGUCGGUUGAAACCGUUUGGCUAGAGUCCGGAAGAGGAGAGUGGAAUUCCCGGUGUAGCGGUGAAAUGCGCAGAUAUCAGGAGGAACACCGAUGGCGAAGGCAGCUCGCUGGGACGGUACUGACGCUGAGGCGCGAAAGCGUGGGGAGCAAACCGG